rnacentral:snRNA from 1 species
CAAGAUUAGCAUGGCCCUGUGCAAGGAUGACAACAAAAAUUUGUGAAGUGUUCCAUAUUUUU